UUUCUUCAGCACUGAGUACUCUAUCAGUGGCGCAGACCAAGCGUCAUGCAGAAACAACCUUAAGAAGGAAAGGAGUUUCUGCAUCACGCGUUUUUAAAAGUGCCAACACAAAGCAGAGUAUUGAGUGCUGAAGAAAUCUUAGUGGCGGACGGGUGAGUAACACGUGGGCAACCUGCCUUAGAGUGGGGGAUAACACCGGGAAAUCGGUGCUAAUACCGCAUAACAUACACAUACUGCAUAGUGAGUGUAUGAAAGGAGCAAUCCGCUUUAAGAUGGGCCCGCGUCUGAUUAGCUAGUUGGUAAGGUAACGGCUUACCAAGGCAACGAUCAGUAGCCGAUCUGAGAGGGUGACCGGCCACACUGGAACUGAGACACGGUCCAGACUCCUACGGGAGGCAGCAGUGGGGAAUAUUGCGCAAUGGGGGGAACCCUGACGCAGCAACGCCGCGUGGAGGAAGAAGGUCUUCGGAUUGUAAACUCCUGUCUUUCGGGACGAUAAUGACGGUACCGGAGGAGGAAGCCACGGCUAACUACGUGCCAGCAGCCGCGGUAAUACGUAGGUGGCGGGCGUUGUCCGGAAUUACUGGGCGUAAAGGGCGUGCAGGCGGUUUUUUAAGUCAGAUGUGAAACCCCGGGGCUUAACUCCGGGAUUGCAUUUGAAACUGAAGGGCUUGAGUGCAGGAGAGGUAAGUGGAAUUCCUAGUGUAGCGGUGAA
rnacentral:rRNA from 1 species